UCUUGCAAUCCAGUCCUCAGGACUGUGCGGGGCAAGGCCAGUCCUCAGCUGUGCUAGGCCCAGCAAAGGAAGGGCAGCAACUUCUCAUUGGCUCCCGCUGGGAGACAGGAUCUCACUGAGUUGCUUAUGGUCUCACUAAGUUGCUGAGACUGGCUUUGAACUUGAGAUCCUCCUGCUUCAGCCUCUGCAGCCACUGGGAUUACAGGACAGUGCGGUUAUGUUGACACUGUGGCCUAUGGAAUGUAAGAAGGAUCUUUUAAAAAAAACCUCUCUGCUCCCCUCCGGUGUCCUCUGAGCUCAGAGGAAGGGAACAGCAUCCCAGGAAGAACAGGCAGCACAGGGUCUUGUUAGAUGUCCAAGGCUGGCCUGGAACGCAUGAUCUUCCUGCCUCAGCUUCCCAAGUCCGUGGGAUUACAGGGAAAGCCUGUCAUCUUAGGGGAUCUGAAGAGUCCCUAACUGGAGUGGAAGAAGUGGUUUCAGGAGGUGACCACAUGGUGUUAGAAUCUGUCCUGAACAAGAGAGUGAAGGAUGUGAGGAAGGACCUCCUAUGGAGUCCUCUGGCAGGCUCCACUCAGCAUCAUAGCACCAUGUUAGUGUUGGAAAGGACCCCACAGACUUGAGUGUGUCAAUCACGGCACACCUGCACUGUUGAGUGCUUCGCAGCAGACAGUGGGAAGCCGAGGCGCUGCCCAGGCAUGGGGGUGCAUUUUCUGGGAAGUUCUAAGUUCUUUGUAGUUACAACAUUUGAGAUGACAUUGAAGGCAAUAAAUCCAGCCCUGGUCUGUGGUGUUCACCAAUUUCCCUGGUGUAAAUGCUGCUUGGAUUCCAAGUUACCAACUCAAUUCAGAUGUUGCUGAAUUCCUAGAAGAUGCCAUCACCUUAUGGAUACAACAAACCUGAACAACCUCAAGAUCAUAGAUAAAAGUAGAUAAGAAUAAUUAAAGACUGGCAAGUUUUGUGUAUUAUUACUCUACCUAUAAUAAUACCUGUAAUAAUGUAUCUGAUUGUAAGUACAUUUAAUUUAAUUUUUAAUAAUGGCUGGCUUUAACAACCAACUUGCAAAAUUCUUGAGACUCUCCCUAUUGCCUCUUGGGAGCCGGUACCAGUUGGCUGCAGGAUACCACUCAUGGUAGUAACUGGUGGGGUUUCAGUUCUGGAGACAGACAGGGAGCCAACGGUGCAGCUCUCUGAUAGAUGAGGAGUGGUCCCUUGGUUACAGUGGAGGCAGGGAGGAAGGGGUAGCCACAUGCCAGUGUUCCUCAGAGAAGCGGGGAUUUGUUCGAGUGCCACUUAGAAGCAGGGAUUUGUUGGAGUGUCACUUUCGCCUUCUCAGUGGUGGUCUUCAUGGCCACCAGACUAGUCUAGUUCUUAGCUUGCAAGGUUGGAUUACUGUCCUGCUUCUGGGUGAGUCAUCCCCUCUCCAGAUUCUCCCCUUGCUAGUCUACACUCACAUUCCAGAAUUGCUGAGGGCCAUUGCUAAGUAAGAAUGACGCAUGGCAUGACCCAGGUCAUUUGCAGUGACAUUGCAUGUAAGGUGACCUUGCUCAAGGACCAGGGCGGAUCCGGGUUUAGGGCGGAUAGGGUUUAGGGCGUUCCGGUUUAGGACAAUCGGGUUUAGGGCGGUUCCAGGUUUAAGGUGUACCCUGCUGGGAAUAGGGCGUAUCCUGCUGCCUCAGGCGUGCCUGCUCCUUGAGUUCCCGUUGAGUUCUCCCGGGAUUCAGAGAGUAUUUGGGAUUUCGCCCAGAACGUGAAUUGGGCGGAGAACGUGGAUUCCCCCAGAACGUGUUUGUAGAGUGCCAGUGUGAGUUCGGGAAUAAAGAAUUGCUGUUUGAAUCUACAA